rnacentral:rRNA from 1 species
ACUCCUACGGGAGGCAGCAGUGAGGAAUAUUGGUCAAUGGAGGGAACUCUGAACCAGCCAUCCCGCGUGUAGGAAGACGGCCUUAUGGGUUGUAAACUACUUUUAUACAGGAAGAAACGUACCCUCGUGAGGGUGCCUGACGGUACUGUAGGAAUAAGCACCGGCUAACUCCGUGCCAGCAGCCGCGGUAAUACGGAGGGUGCGAGCGUUAAUCGGAAUUACUGGGCGUAAAGCGCAUGCAGGUGGUUUGUUAAGUCAGAUGUGAAAGCCCGGGGCUCAACCUCGGAAUAGCAUUUGAAACUGGCAGACUAGAGUACUGUAGAGGGGGUAGAAUUUCAGGUGUAGCGGUGAAAUGCGUAGAGAUCUGAAGGAAUACCAGUGGCGAAGGCGGCCCCUGGACAAAGACUGACGCUCAGAUGCGAAAGCGUGGGGAGCAAACAGGAUUAGAUACCCUGGUAGCGACUGAU